AACGAACCGAGCGAACGUUGUUCGGAAUCACUGGGCUUAAAGGGCGCGUAGGCGGAUUCUCAAGUCCGGGGUGAAAUCCCACAGCUCAACUGUGGAACUGCCUCGGAUACUGGGAGUCUCGAGGGUGGCAGGGGUAUGCGGAACUAUCGGUGGAGCGGUGAAAUGCGUUGAUAUCGAUAGGAACUCCGGUGGCGAAGGCGGCAUACUGGUCCACUUCUGACGCUGAGGCGCGAAAGCCAGGGGAGCAAACGGG
rnacentral:rRNA from 1 species